CGGGGUGCCUAACACAUGCAAGUCGAACGAGAAAGUGGAGCAAUCCAUGAGUAAAGUGGCGACCGGGUGAGUAACACGUGACUAACCUACCCUCGAGUGGGGAAUAACUCCGGGAAACCGGAGCUAAUACCGCAUAACAUCUUCGGAACGCGAGUUUUGUUGAUCAAAGGAGCAAUUCGCUCGAGGAGGGAGUCGCGUCUGAUUAGCUAGUUGGCGGGGUAAUGGCCCACCAAGGCUUAGAUCGGUAUCCGGCCUGAGAGGGCGCCCGGACACACUGGAACUGAAACACGGUCCAGACUCCUACGGGAGGCAGCAGUGGGGAAUUUUGCGCAAUGGGGGAAACCCUGACGCAGCAACGCCGCGUGGAGGAUGAAG
rnacentral:rRNA from 1 species